GACAGAGGGUGCAAACGUUGUUCGGAAUUACUGGGCGUAAAGCGCGUGUAGGCGGCAGGGCAAGUCGGAUGUGAAAGCCCACGGCUCAACCGUGGAAGUGCACCCGAAACUGCCUCGCUAGAGUCUCGGAGAGGAAGGUGGAAUGCUUGGUGUAGAGGUGAAAUUCGUAGAUAUUGGGAAGAACACCGAUGGCGAAGGCAGCCAUCUGGACCGACACUGACGCUGAGGCGCGAAAGCGUGGGGAGCAAACAGG
rnacentral:rRNA from 1 species